AUACCUCCCUUGCCUGAAAGCUUAGCUUCUUCUUGAUUUGAUAGGCUUUCCCUCUAAGGCCCCUCCCUUUUCCCCUUUUAUAAUGGGGGGCUCAGGCCCCGACCUUGUGACAGCCCAAAAUUGACCCUAGUCGGGAAGUGGUUUCGGGACCACAAAACCGAGUCAUAAUAAUAAUUAGCCAUCAUAUUUGAUGCUUAUUAUAUGUAUAUAUGCAUGUGUGAAAAUUUCAUGUUUGAAUUUUGUUAAUUGUAAGUGAAUUUUAUUAAAUAGGACUUAUGUGAGAUAAUUUAGAAAUGUGCUAGGCAAAAGUGAAGUGGCCUAUUAAUGCAUGUUAUGAAAAUGAUGGGUUUGCAUGUCAAAUUACCCAAAAUUUGAGCUAGUGGCCGGCCAUGCUAUGGGUGGAAACAUGUUGGGAACAUGUUGGCUUAGUGUGUUAUGUGAGAAAGAAUAAAUAAAGGGUUAGUAAUUAAGUAAUGAAAAGGGAGGGGUGAUGAAAACAAAGUUGUCUCAUCCAUCCCACCCCCUCCAUUUGCCGUAACUAGACAAAGAAAAGAAAAAAAAAAGAAAGGGUGUUCAUCCUUUAACACCUUGGCCGAAAAUUUGAAGGAGGAAGGAAGAAGAAAGGUUGAAGAGAUUCGGCCAUGCAUGUAACUAGGCUAAGGUAUGUUUGAUGAUGUUCCAUGAGCUGCAUGCAUGUUUUAGUUGUUAGUUUGAGUUCUACCUAGCCCAUGGUCUAAAUCUUGCUAUGUGAUGGAGAUGAUAUUCGGCCAUGGGUGUUGUCUUUCUUGGUUGGUGUUUUGAUGUUGUGGUGAUGAGGCAUGAAGAUGAUUGAGCUUGAGUGUUUAAUAAAAAGGUUUGGAUGUGAGAGUGUGUGAGGAGUAGAAAUGAGGGGUCUUAGCAACUUCAUGAAGGUUCGGCCAUGGUGCUUCAAUAUUGCACUCGUGUUUAACCCUAGGAUUAAUUAGUUAUAUGGUUAGUAUGGGUAUGGGUGACCGAAUAUGAGAGCAUGAAUAGAUGGAGAGUUUGGUGAAUCGAUAUGUGGUAAAUGUUAAGUGUUAAAUAAGAUAGAAAUGAUAGAUUAAUGUUGCACAUUCGGCUAUAGUUAGGCAUGUUGAUGAUCUUAUCUUGACUUAGAUAAUUAGGCAUAAAAGGGUGGUAAUGAGGUUGAGGUUGUUGAAUGGUUAGUUGGGUAACAAAUGAAGCAUUCGGCCAUCACUUGGGAGCUUAUGUGAUGUUGAGUUUAAAAUUAGCAAAGGUGAUUACCGAAUGUCCAAGUAUGCAUACGCAUGUGUGAUUAGAUUAUUGAUAGUAUGGUAAUUGCAUGAGGUUAUUAGCCGAAUAGCUAAGAACAUAAAGUAGCAAGAUGAAAAUUUUACCAUGUCAUUUCGUAUGUCAUAAAAUCAUUAAAAUGUGGAUACCAAUAUAUGUAGCAAAGCGGUUAAAUGAGUUAAUUUAUUUGUUUAAGCUCAAGACUCUAAAGGAGAGGCAUCCAACAAGGGAAAAUCGAAGGUCAUCGAGUAGCCGACUUGGAACUAUUUUACCUAACACAAGGUAAGUCAUUAAGCAUAUCUUUGGUAUUGAUUUAAAUGAUCGUAAUACCUAUGCAAUUGUGUUUAAUGAGAUGAAAUGUAUACAAAUGUAUAUGUAUGUAGAGAUGAAAUUUGUCGAAUGUAAAAAGGAAGUGAAGCCUAUAGAGUGGCUGGUUUUCGGCACUAAGUGUGCGGGCAAUAAGUGUUCACGGUUGUGAGAUUGGCACUAGGUGUGCGAACUUGAAAUGCAUGGCACUAAGUGUGCGAGUUUAAAGUACAUGGCACUAAGUGUGCGUGGUUGAUUAUUAAGCACUAUGUGUGCGAACCCACUAUAUAUAUAUACUUUCUAUAAAUUAUUUACAUUAAUAAUGCGACAUUACCGAGUUGAUUUUGGACAGUGGAAAAAGGUAAGUACCUUGAGUUCAUGGCUAAUAGGCGCUACGUUUAUAUUUGGAGUUGAGCUUGGUAAGUUUUGAACCUAUGUGACAAUUAUACUUUAAGUCACGUAUAUAAGAUUUAUCGUGGAAUAGGUGAAAGGUCGUCUAGUUGUAUGAUUGUAAUGAAAAUAAAAUGAUGUAUGAAAAUGCCUCAAAUAUCCUAUCAAUUAGUAUAUGGAAUGUGAAUGCAUGACUUGGUAUGAGAUGGAACCGAUAGGCCUAAGGAACUAUGGUAUGGUUCGGUGUGGAUGGAGUAACUAGCCUCGUUCCAUUUUGUUUCCUCUUGUGAUAAUGUUAUUGGUAUGGUUCGGUGUGGAUGGAGUAACUAGCCUCGUUCCAUUUUGUUUCCUCUUGUGAUAAUGUUAUUAAUGGAUGGUAGUGCAUUGCUUAUGACUUACUGAGUUAUAUACUCACUCGGUGUUUUCCUUGUCACCUAUUUUAGGCUUCUUGGAUUCGUUUCCUUCGCGUGGUCGGGCCGUCAUCGAAGUCAUCACAGCAGCUAGCAAGUUUUGGUACUUUCUUCUUAGUCGGCUUAGGAGAACAUUUCGGCGUGUAUAGGCUAUUAUGUUGUGUUUGAACUUUGGUAUGUAAACUUUUAGCCAUGCGAAAAUAGCAUAAAUGUUCGGUUGGAUUUGGUUUUAUAAUGUUAGGUCGUAAGUCUGGGUAAUUCGAUUUUUUUUUAUGCCAUAUGUCAUGGUUGAUUAUUUUUGGUGUUAAGAUUCAUGAUAUGGCAAUAGUGUAGUAGGGAGAUGUUUGACAAUGAUUAGCCUUUGGUAUGGCUAGUCAUGAUUAUAAUUUUGUGAUAUGUAUGAUGAAUUACUAGUUAGAUCAAUGAGAAAUCACGAAAUAGGCAUAGUUGCUUCAGUAACAGGUGCUUGCAGCAGCAGUGACGUGAGAUUGAAAAAUUACAAAAAUUAUUAGGAACGGAAUUAAAUAGUGAAUAAAUUAUGUAAUCGAAGCUCGAUGAGUCUAUUUUCAUAUAGAAGUAACGAAACAAUCAUAUGGACAGUAUGUUAAGAGAUAUUCAUGUUCUCGUGAGACAGGGCCAGAACGGUUUCUGGAUUCCCUAUUCCGACUGUGGAAAUUCAUUAUAAAUUAACCAGAGAUAAUUAGGAGUCAUGCCAUAUAUGUAUAGAUUCCUCUAUGAGUCUAGUUUCUAUAGAAAUAAACGGCAUCGGUAUUGAAGCUCUGUGCAGGGAGUUAUCCAAAUUGUAAUGCAUGAAGGUCAGUGUAGUCGCACCCUGUAAUAGGGGAGAAUUUAACUAAUAAACUGUACUAAUUGGCCCAACCAAAAAUUCUACAAAAAUUCUACCAUAUAGGUAUAUGAGUCUAGUUCUAGGGAAAAUUUACAGAACUGGAUUUCGAGUUUCAGAACUCAAGAUAUGAUUUUUAAAGCGACUAGUAUGCAGAUUGGCAGCUUGUCUAGGAAAUGUCAAAUAAGUGGUUUGAAGUCUGUUAACACCUCGUGUUCGACUCCGGCGACGGUCUCGAGUUCGGGGUGUUACAAUUUUAUUGGUAUCAGAGCUAUGGUUUAGUCGGUUCUAGGACUACCAUAGCGCGUAUGAGUCUAGCUAUACAUGCCUUAAUGUUAAUGUUUAAAUGUGUGAUGACUUCUGACGGUUAAAAUUUUUUUGUUUUGAUUAGUAAAUGGACCCCGGUGUAGAAAGAACCUUAGCGGAUGACGUUGAAAGUGUAGCGGCUGCUCCUGCACAAGGGACACCGCCUGUUGAACCUCAGUCAUCUGCGAAUAAUCAAGGUGAGGGGGCUAAACAAGCCUUCUUUACCAUGAUGAAUGAGUGGGUCGCGCAAUAUGCCCGAACCAAUCCGGCUGUCCAACAAUUCCCGGAUUUGAAUAAUCCACCCCAAGAGCCCGUAAUGCCAUCAGUCACUGAUCCUGUGAGGCUGAGUAAGCCACCUGUAGACUUGAUUAGGAAGCACGGGGCUGAGGAGUUCAGGGCCAUAGUUACUGAUGAUGCUGAAAGGGCCGAGUUCUGGCUUGAUAACACCAUUCGGGUGUUUGAUGAACUGUCAUGCACACCCGAUGAAUGUCUAAAGUGUGUUAUAUCCUUGUUGCGGGACUCAGCCUACUAUUGGUGGAGGACCCUGAUUUCCAUAGUCCCAAACGAACGAGUUACUUGGGACUUCUUUCAAACGGAAUUCCGAAAGAAAUAUAUUAGUCAACGGUUCAUUGAUCAAAAGCGCAAGGAAUUCUUGGAACUCAAGCAAGGCCGUAUGACAGUAUCUGAAUAUGAACAUGAAUUCGUAAGACUCAGUAGGUAUGCCCGGGAGUGUGUAGCUGAUGAGGUUGCUAUGUGCAAGAGAUUCGAAGAAGGAUUGAAUGAAGAUUUAAAGCUACUAGUGGGUAUUUUGGAGAUAAAAGAAUUCGUAACACUAGUCGAACGAGCCUGCAAGGCGGAAGAACUUGGAAAGGAAAAGAAGAAGGCUGAAUUUGAAGCUAGAGACUAUCGUAAAAGAUCGACGGGUAAAGCUCCGUUCUCAGCUGUAAAGAAGUUCAGGGAGGACACUAAUAAGUCGAGGGCGACUGCGGGAAUUUCCAUCAGAGCACGACCCUCGACGGACUCCCGAGCUACUUCGGUAGCUAGUGUGGGCAAUAAUCGUCAAGAGAAACCUGAAUGUCCCCAAUGCGGAAGACGACACCUAGGUGAAUGUUGGGGUAAGUCUACUAACAGGGCCUGUUACGGAUGCGGUUCGAAGGACCACUUCAUUAGAGAUUGCACGGAGCUUGAUGAGAAGAAUAAGAUUCAAGGUGCAAAACCUAGUGGAGUGACAACUAAAGGUAGACCACCGAGAAUUUUAGGAGGUAGGGGUGGUAGUCAGAGAGGAGCCUCUGAUACGACUGUUCGAGCCGAGAACCGCAUAUGCCAUUCGCGCACGAGAGGAGGCAUCCUCCCCUGACGUCAUCACUGGUACCUUCACUCUCUUUGAUACUAAUGUGAUUGCAUUGAUUGACCCUGGCUCUACUCAUUCAUAUGUAUGUGAAACCUUAGCAUUCAGUAAGACUCUACCUGUUGAGUCUACUGAGUUUGUAAUUUGAGUGUCAAAUCCUUUGGGUCAAUACGUACUUGUUGAUAAAGUGUGUAAGAAAUGCCCUCUAAUAAUCCGAGAAUCCUGUUUUCCGGCCGAUUUGAUGCUUUUGCCGUUUGACGAAUUUGAUGUUAUUCUUGGUAUGGAUUGGUUGAUCGUACAUGAUGUAGUGGUGAACUGCAAAAGAAAAACCAUCAAUUUGAGGAGUGCAAAUGAUGAGGUAGUCCGAGUUGAGUCUACCGAUUGGAAGGGGGUGCCAGUGAUAAUAUCUUCAAUGACCGCUCAGAGAUAUAUGAAAAAGGGUUGUGAAGCAUACCUUGCGUAUGUAUUUGAUAGCAAAGAGACGGAAAGGAAACUUGAAUCAGUACCAGUGGUUUGUGAGUAUUCAAAUGUUUUUCCUGAGGAGUUACCGGGGUUGCCACCGGUUCGAGAGGUGGAAUUCGGCAUCGAGAUUGUACCUGGUACCACGCCGAUCUCAAUAGUCCCAUAUCGUAUGGCAUUAACAGAAUUAAAGGAAUUGAAAGUUCAAUUGCAAGAAUUAACGGAUAGAGGUUUUGCUCGACUAAGUUUCUCACCUUGGGGAGCACCAGUAUUGUUCGUGAAAAAGAAGGACGAAACCAUGAGGUUGUGCAUUGACUAUCGUCAACUGAAUAAAGUGACGAUAAAGAAUAAAUAUCCGUUACCACGUAUUGAUGAUUUGUUUGAUCAAUUAAAGGGAGCCUCAGUGUUUUCAAAGAUAGAUUUGAGAUCGGGUUAUUAUCAGUUGCGGAUUCGAGAUUCGGACGUACCCAAAACUGCUUUCAGAAUGAGGUACGGUCACUACGAGUUCUUAGUGAUGCCGUUCGGGCUCACUAAUGCCGCUGCGGUAUUUAUGGAUUUGAUGAAUCGGAUCUUCAGACAGUAUUUGGAUCGGUUCGUAGUUGUGUUCAUUGACGAUAUCUUGGUCUAUUCAAGAGAUGAGACCGAACAUGCUGAACACCUGAGAUUAGUGUUGCAAAUUUUGCGGGAUAAGCAGUUAUAUGCGAAGUUCAGUAAGUGUGAGUUCUGGUUAAGAGAGGUUAGCUUCUUGGGUCAUGUGGUAUCCGCAUCGGGUAUUCGAGUUGACCCGAGCAAAAUUUCAGCCAUACUUAACUGGAAGCCUCCAAGAAAUGUUACCGAAGUUCGGAGCUUCCUAGGGCUCGCCGGUUAUUACUGACGAUUUGUAAAAGGUUUCUCGAUGAUAGCCACACCAAUGACGAAGCUACUUCAAAAGGAUGCUAAGUUCGAAUGGACGGAGAAAUGUCAGAAAAGUUUCGAUCAACUGAAAACUUAUUUGACUGAAGCUCCAAUUUUAGUGCAACCCGAAUCAGGCAAAGAGUUUGUCAUUUAUAGUGACGCAUCCCUACUCGGGUUGGGUUGCGUAUUGAUGCAAGAAGGUCGAGUUGUGGCCUAUGCGUUGAGACAAUUGAAGCCACACGAGAGAAAUUAUCCAACCCAUGAUCUCGAACUAGCCGCCAUCGUAUUUGCUUUGAAAAUAUGGCGACAUUAUUUGUUUGGCGAAAAGUGCCAUGUAUUUUCGGAUCACAAAAGUCUCAAAUAUUUGAUGACUCAAAGAGACUUAAAUCUGCGACAAAGAUGUUGGCUUGAGUUGUUGAAAGAUUACGAGCUUGUCAUUGAUUACCACCCGGGAAAGGCUAAUGUGGUUGCGGACGCCUUAAGCCGGAAAUCACUGUUUGCUUUACGAGCGAUGAAUGUGCACUUGUCUGUUCUACCCGACAAUGUGCUAGUAGCUGAAUUAAAGGCCAAACCGUUAUUGAUUCGUCAAAUUAGUGAAGCUCAGAAAGUCGACAAUGAAUUGGUUGCAAAACGGGCUGAAUGUGUUCCGAAUAUGGAAUCUGAAUUUCAAAUUGAUGAUGACGAUUGUUUGAGAUUCAGAAGUCGUUUGUGUGUUCCAAGGAAUUCGGAACUCAUUUCGAUGAUUCUGAACGAAGCCCAUUGUAGCCGAAUGUCAAUUCACCCGGGGAGUACGAAAAUGUACAACGAUUUGAAACGUCGGUUUUGGUGGCAUGGUAUGAAACGGGACAUCUCCGACUUUGUUUCGAGAUGUUUAAUAUGUCAACAAGUGAAAGCAGAACAUCAAGUGCCUUCAGGAUUACUUCAGCCGAUCGUGAUACCCGAGUGGAAAUGGGAUCGAGUCACAAUGGACUUUGUGUCCGGACUACCAUUGUCAGCAAGUAAGAAGGAUACGAUUUGGGUUGUUGUUGAUAGACUGACUAAGUCGGCUCACUUUAUCCCCGUGCGUACGGAAUUUUCAUUGGAUAAAUUAGCCGAAUUGUAUGUUUCUCAGAUUGUGAGAUUACACGGGGUACCUAUUUCUAUCGUGUCGGAUAGAGAUCCGAGAUUCACCUCACGAUUUUGGAAGAAAUUGCAAGAAGCUUUGGGUACCAAGCUGCAUUUUAGCACCGCUUUUCAUCCCCAAACCGAUGGUCAAUCCGAGCGGAUAAUUCAGAUACUCAAGGAUAUGCUGAGAUGCUGCAUCCUUGAGUUUAGUGGUUCAUGGGAACGGUAUUUACCUUUGAUUGAAUUCGCUUACAACAAUAGUUUUCAAUCAAGUAUUAAUAUGGCACCUUACGAGGCUUUGUACGGUCGUAAAUGCCGUACACCAUUGUUUUGGACCGAGCUCGGUGAAAGUAAAAUUUUUGGAGUCGAUUUGAUUAAAGAUGCCGAACAGAAAGUAAAGGUAAUCCGUGAACGUCUAAAGGCAGCCACAGAUCGUCAGAAAUUGUAUGCGGAUUUGAAACGAAAAGACAUUGAAUAUCAGGUGGGAGAUAAAGUGUUUCUUAAAGUUUCGCCUUGGAAAAAGGUACUCAGAUUUGGCCAAAAGGGCAAGUUGAGUCUGAGAUUCAUUGGGCCAUACGAAAUAUCCGAACGAGUCAGUCCAGUUGCGUAUCGAUUGAUUUUACCCCCUGAACUUGAAAAGAUUCACGACGUCUUUCAUGUUUCGAUGCUUCGACGCUAUAGAUCUGAUCCUUCGCACAUAAUUAGUCCGUCGGAGGUUGAAAUUGAAGCCGAUUUGAGUUAUGAAGAAGAGUCGAUGCGUAUCCUAGCUCGUGAAGUGAAGGAGUUGCGAAACAAAAGGGUUCUGUUAGUAAAGGUGUUAUGGGUCAAACACGGGAUCGAGGAAGCUACUUGGGAAACCGAGAGCUCGAUGAAAGAACGAUACCCAAACCUAUUUACCGGUAAGAUUUUCGGGGACGAAAAUUUCUUAAGUGGGGGAGAGUUGUGACAGCCCAAAAUUGACCCUAGUCGGGAAGUGGUUUCGGGACCACAAAACCGAGUCAUAAUAAUAAUUAGCCAUCAUAUUUGAUGCUUAUUAUAUGUAUAUAUGCAUGUGUGAAAAUUUCAUGUUUGAAUUUUGUUAAUUGUAAGUGAAUUUUAUUAAAUAGGACUUAUGUGAGAAAAUUUAGAAAUGUGCUAGGCAAAUGUGAAGUGGCCUAUUAAUGCAUGUUAUGAAAAUGAUGGGUUUGCAUGUCAAAUUACCCAAAAUUUGAGCUAGUGGCCGGCCAUGCUAUGGGUGGAAACAUGUUGGGAACAUGUUGGCUUAGUGUGUUAUGUGAGAAAGAAUAAAUAAAGGGUUAGUAAUUAAGUAAUGAAAAGGGAGGGGUGAUGAAAACAAAGUUGUCUCAUCCAUCCCCCCCUCCAUUUGCCAUAACUAGACAAAGAAAAGAAAAAAAAAAGAAAGGGUGUUCAUCCUUUAACACCUUGGCCGAAAAUUUGAAGGAGGAAGGAAAAAGAAAGGUUGAAGAGAUUUGGCCAUGCAUGUAACUAGGCUAAGGUAUGUUUGAUGAUGUUCCAUGAGAUGCAUGCAUGUUUUAGUUGUUAGUUUGAGUUCUACCUAGUGUCACGGGCCAAAGUGCAAAGCCCGUGACCAUGCCGCAAGUAGCGCCCCAUGGAGGUCUAUCGAUUAGAUGGGGGACAUUCAGCCCACAAGAACUGGCCCGAUUCAAAGAGCUACUAAAUAAGCCUAUCAGAUUGAAGCCUGGUUGGCCCAAUGAUGAAGACAUGGCAACUUAGGCAAUUUUGGUAACUAAUCUUAGAAGAUAGAAUAGAAUCAUAUCUUGUAAGAUUAGAUUAGAUUUGAUAAGGUAAAUCUUGUAAAUCCCUAAAAUCAAGGGAUAUAGUGAAUCUCAUCCGUCGAUGUACAUGUAUCUUGACCGUCGGUUUUGGGGGGAGCUCAACUAUAAAUAGAGAGCCUCCCCCUCAUUUGUAAAUCAUCCAUUGUAACUUGAAUUCUUAAGAGUUAUAGAAUUCUUGAGCAUUUACUCAAACACUUUGUGUGCUUUCUUUCUUUAGCUUUCUGUUGUUCUCUUGUGGCUUCUUUUGGCACAAUCGCUUCCGCUAUAUAAAUUGGUGCCUUGGAGGAGUUCUAAAAGAAUCCUCUCUUUUGGGGAAUAAGGCUGACUUGGGCGAGUUUGGACGAACGGAUCACCUAAGGCCGCACGGAUUGCGAGACGAAAGGUCUAGCCCCGUGACAAGUGGUAUCCGAGCCAAGUUUUGAACCAAAUUAUUCGAGUGGUUCGAAGGCACUGUUGGGAUGUCGAAAGAAGUCGUUGGUCAGAGUGAGCCAAUGGAGACCCGUGGGAGGGCUAGAAAAGCCAGUCGCUCGAGGGAAAUGCUGACAGCUUUGGAGAAUCGAGUGGUCAAUCUUGAGGAAUCCGUAGGGAACGUGAAAGAGACGCUUGAAUUGGUCGAGGGACGCACAGAUGGGUUAGACUCAAUGGAGGAGCAACUCAGAGAUUUUGUGUUAGAUUCUCUCGGUGCAAAUAGGGAAAAGAUAACGGAAUUACUCGAGUCCACUGAGGUAAAGCUGGCAGAGAGGGAUGAAGCUCCCGAGGAUAUGGUGCUAGCCAUGCAGAAAGAAAUGGAGGAGCUCAAAGGGGAGCUCGCGAUUUACAAAGCCACUUUGAGUAAUGGGAUGUUGUCUUCAAGGCCGAAGCAACAUGCAAUGGAUGUUCCCAAACCGGAGAAGUUUAAGGGUGCACGAUCCGCGAGGGAUGUGGACAACUUCUUGUGGGAAAUGGAGCAAUACUUCCGAGCGAUGGGCAUCGAGGAUGAUGGCAUUAAGGUAAACACUGCUUCGAUUUACUUUUCUGAUGUUGCUCUCUUGUGGUGGCGACGUAGGUCCACGGAUGAGAAAUGUGGAGGAACGGCUAUUGGAACUUGGGAGGAGUUUCAAGGAGAAUUGAAGAAGCAGUUUUACCCUCAAUAUGCCGAGAAGGAGGCUCGGGCUAAAUUGCGUCGUCUCACGUAACAAGACACUGUUCGGGAGUAUGUGCGGGCAUUUAGCGAGUUGAUGCUUCAAAUCUCCGACUUGAGUGAGAAAGAAGCAUUCUAUUGGUUCGAGGAUGGGUUAAAGCCUUGGGCAAAGCAGGAGUUGCGAAGGCAAGGAAUCACCGAACUUACUGUAGCCAUGGCCGAAGCAGAGUCCUUUGUUGAGCUUGAUCCGGCGGGAGACAAGCUUGAGGCAUCUAAGCCCAAUGGAAGGGGAAAUGGUGAAAGAAACCAUGAAGAAGAUGAAAGGGGACAUAGCGAUGGGGGCAACAGUACUGAUAGCACAAGUGGCAAUGGGAAACCACGAGAUGCGAAGCGGGGAUUAGACAACCCAAGGGACAAGAGGAAGAAGAUGAAAUGCUUCCUUUGUCAAGGACCACACAUGGCGCGUAAAUGUCCAAAUAAAGUGAUGAUUUCGACAAAGAAUGAUGAGCCGAAGGAGGAGGCAAAGCCUACCGAGGGAAACACAUCGAAAGUCAAUUCGAUGGUGCUCAUUCCUGGGAAGAGGAAUGGAAAUGGGUUGAUGUUUGUGGACGUCAACAUUGCGGGUCAGAAGCGGAGUGCUCUUAUUGAUACGGGAGCAUCGGACUUGUUCAUGUCGGAAAAGGCUGCGAAGAAGCUUGGUCUAUCAAUUAGGAAAUCGAAUAAGAAGAUCAAGGUAGCAACUUCUGAGAAAGCCCCAACUGUGGGAGUAGUUCGUGAUGUGGAACUACAAAUCGGCGAAUGGAAGAGCAAGGAAGAAUUCGAGGUAAUCCAAUUAAGUGAUUACGAUUUUGUGCUUGGCUUAAACUUCCUUGUUAGGAUUCAGGCAACUUUGCAACUAGGGGCCGAUCAAAUCCAUAUUGCCACCGGUCCAUCAACAAAGAGUAUUGUGCCGGUGCAUCGGGAUGUGAAAGUUGGGACUAAGUUGUUAUCGUCAAUCCAACUAGUCGAAGAUGUUUCGUAUGGGAGAAACAUUAUAUCGGCAAAACGGAAUGCUACGAAAGCCUCUUCGGAAGUGUUAGUGGCGCAAGGGACCGAUAUGAAGCCUGCGGGAUCGACUGUAGAGCUGACACCUUUGGGAAAGGUGGGUUGUGCAUCGGGCUUCAAGGGAAAAGGAGCGAUGCAAGGACAGUCGAGACGAGUAAAUGCUACGAGUAAGGUGCAUUGCAAACACUCUGAUAGUGUUUUGAAUUCUGACUUGUUGGCUUGGCAAGGUCGUAGGGGCCCUUUCAAAGUUCAUAAGCGAGGAGGCCAAUGAGCUGUGGGCGGUACGAAGCCGAGGUAUGAGAAUCGAGGGGAUUCCAACAGAAACAAGUCAAAAUUGGGGCAAGUUAAAGCGGAGACUACUUGCCAACAGAAUGUACCAACGAGUGGAACGGUUCAAGAUAAGAGGCGACGGAAGUCGAGGCAUAAGUUCCGAAGAAAGGGACAACCUGAUCGCAAGACGAGUCAGGAAGAAGCCGAGGCAAUGAAAGAGUUUCACAGUGAAUCAAGUCAGUGUCAUCCAGAAAACGCAACGAGGGCGUUGCGAGAUUGGGUGGGGGAGAAUGUCACGGGCCAAAGUGCAAAGCCCGUGACCAUGCCGCAAAUAGCGCCCCAUGGAGGUCUAUCGAUUAGAUGGGGGACAUUCAGCCCACAAGAACUGGCCCGAUUCAAAGAGCUACUAAAGAAGCCUAUCAGAUUGAAGCCUGGUUGGCCCAAUGAUGAAGACAUGGCAACUUAGGCAAUUUUGGUAACUAAUCUUAGAAGAUAGAAUAGAAUCAUAUCUUGUAAGAUUAGAUUAGAUUUGAUAAGGUAAAUCUUGUAAAUCCCUAAAAUCAAGGGAUAUAGUGAAUCUCAUCCGUCGAUGUACAUGUAUCUUGACCGUCGGUUUUGGGGGGAGCUCAACUAUAAAUAGAGAGCCUCCCCCUCAUUUGUAAAUCAUCCAUUGUAACUUGAAUUCUUAAGAGUAAUAUAAUUCUUGAGCAUUUACUCAAACACUUUGUGUGCUUUCUUUCUUUAGCUUUCUGUUGUUCUCUUGUGGCUUCUUUUGGCACAAUCGCUUCCGCUAUAUAAAUUGGUGCCUUGGAGGAGUUCUAAAAGAAUCCUCUCUUUUGGGGAAUAAGGCUGACUUGGGCGAGUUUGGACGAACGGAUCACCUAAGGCCGCACGGAUUGCGAGACGAAAGGUCUAGCCCCGUGACACUAGCCCAUGGUCUAAAUCUUGCUAUGUGAUGGAGAUGAUAUUCGGCCAUGGGUGUUGUCUUUCUUGGUUGGUGUUUUGAUGUUGUGGUGAUGAGGCAUGAAGAUGAUUGAGCUUGAGUGUUUAAUAAAAAGGUUUGGAUGUGAGAGUGUGUGAGGAGUAGAAAUGAGGGGUCUUAGCAACUUCAUGAAGGUUCGGCCAUGGUGCUUCAAUAUUGCACUUGUGUUUAACCCUAGGAUUAAUUAGUUAUAUGGUUAGUAUGGGUAUGGGUGACCGAAUAUGAGAGCAUGAAUAGAUGGAGAGUUUGGUGAAUCGAUAUGUGGUAAAUGUUAAGUGUUAAAUGAGAUAGAAAUGAUAGAUUAAUGUUGCACAUUCGGCUAUAGUUAGGCAUGUUGAUGAUCUUAUCUUGACUUAGAUAAUUAGGCAUGAAAGGGUGGUAAUGAGGUUGAGGUUGUUGAAUGGUUAGUUGGGUAACAAAUGAAGCAUUCGGCCAUCACUUGGGAGCUUAUGUGAUGUUGAGUUUAAAAUUAGCAAAGGUGAUUACCGAAUGUCCAAGUAUGCAUAUGCAUGUGUGAUUAGAUUAUUGAUAGUAUGGUAAUUGCAUGAGGUUAUUAGCCGAAUAGCUAAGAACAUAAAGUAGCAAGAUGAAAAUUUUACCAUGUCGUUUCGUAUGUCAUAAAAUCAUUAAAAUGUGGAUACCAAUAUAUGUAGCAAAGCGGUUAAAUGAGUUAAUUUAUUUGUUUAAGCUCAAGACUCUAAAGGAGAGGCGUCCAACAAGGGAAAAUCGAAGGUCAUCGAGUAGCCGACUUGGAACUAUUUUACCUAACACAAGGUAAGUCAUUAAGCAUAUCUUUGGUAUUGAUUUAAAUGAUCGUAAUACCUAUGCAAUUGUGUUUAAUGAGAUGAAAUGUAUACAAAUGUAUAUGUAUGUAGAGAUGAAAUUUGUCGAAUGUAAAAAGGAAGUGAAGCCUAUAGAGUGGCUGGUUUUCGGCACUAAGUGUGCGGGCAAUAAGUGUUCACGGUUGUGAGAUUGGCACUAGGUGUGCGAACUUGAAAUGCAUGGCACUAAGUGUGCGAGUUUAAAGUACAUGGCACUAAGUGUGCGUGGUUGAUUAUUAAGCACUAUGUGUGCGAACCCACUAUAUAUAUAUACUUUCUAUAAAUUAUUUACAUUAAGGAUGCGACAUUACCGAGUCGAUUUUGGACAGCGGAAAAAGGUAAGUACCUUGAGUUCAUGGCUAAUAGGCGCUACGUUUAUAUUUGGAGUUGAGCUUGGUAAGUUUUGAACCUAUGUGACAAUUAUACUUGAAGUCACGUAUAUAAGAUUUAUCGUGGAAUAGGUGAAAGGUCGUCUAGUUGUAUGAUUGUAAUGAAAAUAAAAUGAUGUAUGAAAAUGCCUCAAAUAUCCUAUCAAUUAGUAUAUGGAAUGUGAAUGCAUGACUUGGUAUGAGAUGGAACCGAUAGGCCUAAGGAACUAUGGUAUGGUUCGGUGUGGAUGGAGUAACUAGCCUCGUCCCAUUUUGUUUCCUCCUGUGAUAAUGUUAUUAAUGGAUGGUAGUGCAUUGCUUAUGACUUACUGAGUUAUAUACUCACUCGGUGUUUUCCUUGUCACCUAUUUUAGGCUUCUUGGAUUCGUUUCCUUCGCGUGGUCGGGCCGUCAUCGAAGUCAUCACAGCAGCUAGCAAGUUUUGGUACUUUCUUCUUAGUCGGCUUAGGAGAACAUUUCGGCAUGUAUAGGCUAUUAUGUUGUGUUUGAACUUUGGUAUGUAAACUUUUAGCCAUGCGAAAAUAGCAUAAAUGUUCGGUUGGAUUUGGUUUUAUAAUGUUAGGUCGUAAGUCUGGGUAAUUCGAUUUUUUUUUAUGCCAUAUGUCAUGGUUGAUUAUUUUUGGUGUUAAGAUUCAUGAUAUGGCAAUAGUGUAGUAGGGAGAUGUUUGACAAUGAUUAGCCUUUGGUAUGGCUAGUCAUGAUUAUAAUUUUGUGAUAUGUAUGAUGAAUUACUAGUUAGAUCAAUGAGAAAUCACGAAAUAGGCAUAGUUGCUUCAGUAACAGAUGCUGGCAGCAGCAGUGACGUGAGAUUGAAAAAUUAGAAAAAUUAGUAGGAAUGGAAUUAAAUAGUGAAUAAAUUAUUUAAUCGAAGCUCGAUGAGUCUAUUUUCAUAUAGAAGUAACGAAACAAUCAUAUGGACAGUAUGUUAAGAGAUAUUCAGGUUCUCGUGAGACAGGGCCAGAACGGUUUCUGGAUUCCCUGUUCCGACUUUGUAAAUUCAUUAUAAAUUAACCAGAGAUAAUUAGGAGUCAUGCCAUAUAUGUAUAGAUUACUAUAUGAGUCUAGUUUCUAUAGAAACAAACGGCAUCGGUAUUGAAGCUCUGUGCAGAGAGUUAUCCAAAUCGUAAUGCAUGAAGGUCAGUGUAGUCGCACCCUGUAAUAGGGGAGAAUUUAACUAAUAAACUGUACUAAUUGGCCCGACAAAAAAUUCUAAAAAAAUUCUACCAUAUAGGUAUAUGAGUCUAGUUCCAGGGAAAAUUUACGGAACUGGAUUUCGAGUUUCAUAACUCAAGAUAUGAUUUUUAAAGCGACUAGUACGCAGAUUGGCAGCUUGUCUGGGAAAUGUCAAAUAAGUGGUUUGAAGUCUGUUAACACCUCGUGUUCGACUCCGGCGACGGUCUCGGGUUCGGGGUGUUACAGACCUACUGCCCUACACAAUACCGACAUCAGCCGUCUCAAAGCUUCAGGCUUACCUGCAAUCAACGAUUAGUUGAAGUGAAAAGGCUUUGUCUCCCUCUUUACCGAAAUAA
rnacentral:lncRNA from 1 species